rnacentral:misc_RNA from 1 species
GAUGAAGAACGUAGCGAAAUGCGAUAAGUAAUGUGAAUUGCAGAAUUCAGUGAAUCAUCGAAUCUUUGAACGCACCUUGCGCCCUUUGGCCAUUCCGAAGGGCAUGCCUGUUUGAGUAUCAUGAACACCUCAACCCUUCAUGGUUUUCCAUGAUGAGCUUGGACUUUGGGGGUCUUGCUGGCCUGUGGGUCGGCUCCUCUCAAAUGAAUCAGCUUGCCGGUUUUUGGUGGGCAUCACAGGUGUGAUAACUAUCUACGCUUGUGGUUUUCCACCAGGGUAACCUUCAGCAGUGGAGGUUCACUGGAGCUUACAAAUGUCUCUCCUCUGUGAGGACAGCCCUUUGAAUGUUUGAUCUCAAAUCAGGUAGGACUACCCGCUGAACUUAAGCAUAUCAAUAAGCGGAGGA